rnacentral:lncRNA from 1 species
GACUCUCAAGGUUUUUGCACUCUCGCAAACAUAAGGUAUCAAAUUCAGAGGCAUGCUCAAUGGGUAGUAGGUUGAUUGUCUGACCCUUUAAACAAAGCUUUCGGUGUUCCACGUUCCUCUGACAUUCCACGCAGCUAGCAUCCACAUCCUCAGUCUGUACUAUUGGAUCUUGGGAGUAUAUAGGUUGAAGCCCACACUUGAGCACCUUAAAAUGAUUGCGAGAGCCCAUAAAUAGAGCCCCAAGAAACAUGGAUGGAUUGGUGUGACAGCUCUCCAGAAUAGCAGCCUUGGGAUAGAAUAUCACCCACAUUUGUUCUGAUGCACCUCCAUCAUGGUAGCAUUUACAAGUAGUGCGAAAACUGAGAGGUUGCACACACAGGGGAGAAAAUCCAUAUCCAUCAUGCAAUGACAAUUGACAUUCUAACUCAGUGGAGAUUGAAGAUUCAGCUUCAAAUAAAUCGUCAGAUUCAUUCAGGGCUUCGUCACCAGAUUCAUUCUCCGAAAAUGUAUGUGCAAAAUCAUUUUCUGGUAUGUCCUCACAUUCAUCGAGUGGAGCAUAAACACAGCAUAUAGCAAUUCCCAAGAAGUCAUUAUUUUCAUAACAACUCUGAGGAAGGUCCAUUGUGAUCUGAUAUCCCUCUCUCUGUUUCCUUAUCCACUUGGGAAUUCCACUGCUUCCCGGAACAACAAUACAGAUUCCAUGGCCAAUGAAGUCAGAAUCAGGGAGAAAUACUUCAUUUGAACUGCUCUUGUAUUUCAAAUCCUGUACAAAGGGACAAUGUAAAUCCAGUGGGUCUGUGCCAUUAUGUGAGUUUUUAUGAGAGAGUUUGUUAUCGGUUUUUGAUAAAUUGAUUCCCAGUUUUAACUUUCUUUGAUCUAUGCUCCUGAAUCUACUUAAUAUCCCUUUUAGAUGACGGAUAAUCAAUCAACAUGAAAGUGAGUGACAAGAUUAAGUGUGAAAACUGGAAGUGAGGGGAAACUGAAACUGAAAGUGAGUAGAAUAAGCAGAUCUGUUCUUCACUUGCAGUAGCUUCUUCUCCAUUCAGAUUCAGAGAUCUUAGAAUUGUAGCUUCAACUUAACUCUCAGAAUCUUAAAGACAAAGUUCGCUCAAGUUUCAAAAACUCACAGAAAAGUUUCUCCUCAUGUUUCUUUUAAUCCCAUGAGGCGACAGACAUGUAGCACACACUUACUGGCUUUUUGCCAUGCAAGUUUCAAGGUGGAGUGUCCAAUGAACUAAAACAUUCCCUCAAAUCCUAGUGGAAAUUCACACUAUAAAUUUCAGAAUUUGCUAAAGAAAAGUUUAAUUAAUUUUACCCAUGACUAAAAAGGCAUGUGAGGGCAUUUUAACAGCCUAUUAAUUAUUAUAUUAAACUACUAUUCUCAUUACUCAAACUCAUGAUCCUUCACAUCAUCACCACAUUUUGAAGAGACUUUCGUCAACUCUUCUAUGAAUGAAUUGAUGUUUAAGGAGGCAUAAUAAACUUUUAAUUGAAUUUAACAUUAUUUCUAUCCUUAUACUCAUCUUAAAUUAUUAUUUUUUUAUAUUCUUAUCAAAAUAAAUAAAAACUUAACAAAAAAAAUAAAGAUUUCAAAACAAACUUUAUUAGCAACACUUAUUUACAUCAUUCUUUAAAAAAAUAUUCAAAAACAAAUUUUUUUACAAUUAAAAAAAUGUGAUUUAAAAUUUAUAAAGAACAAAAUUUUUAGAAAAAUAUGGUAGUUGUUUGAAAUAAAAUAAAAGGGAAAUCAAAAUUCUUAGUAAAUGAAUAGUCAAAAAAACUGUAACAGAUAUGCAAAUGAGAAAAAAAAUAAUCAAUGUCAAGAAUGAGAAACAAUUUUUUCUUUUUUCUUUUCUUAUUUUAUGCAUUCAUUACCAUUUUUAAAUUAAUAAAUAAAGUUUUUCUCACAAAAUUUUAAAAUGGCAUGUAUGCUUCAAAAUUUAUAUAUUGUUAUUAGAUUUUUAUAAAUUUCAUUUAUAUCCUCAAAAUUAGAAUCAUUAAACUCACAUUUUAAAAUAAGAUAUCAAAUAGUUAUUUUUUCAUCCUUUAGCAAUAUCAAACGUUUUUUGUACUUUAAUAAAAAAAAAAAAAGCUAUUUUUUCUAAUUAAUGACUAUUUUGCAUAAUAUUUGUAUAAAUUAUUUAAUAUAUAAAUAUUACUUAUUUAAUAGUUUUUUUUUAAUUUCUUAUAGAAAGAGUAGUGCAUACAUAAUUCAAACAAAAGGUAAUUUUAUAUUGCAAAAAAGUUUGUGGAAAAAGGAAAUUUGAACAAGGAUUGAAAUUUAUAGAACCAUAUUGGACACCUAGUUCUAGGUUUGUCCCUUUCCAACAAUCAUGACUUGGUAGUAGCCUAAUCUCAAAUCUAACUUUGUCAGGCCCUUCCUUUACUAAGUCGAUCAAACAAGUUGUUAACAAACAGAAUAAGAUAUUUUUUCUUUUCACCUUGUUGAGUCUUCGAUAAUCUAUACACAUUCAGAGGGAUCCAUUAUGUUUCUUUUAGAAUAAUAUUGAUGUGGCAUAUGAAGCUUUAGUUGGUUGGAUGUAUCCCAUGUUAUGCAACUUCUUAAGUUGUUUCCUUUGUUCUUCUAAAUUAGGUAGUAUCAUCCUAUGGGACCUCCAUGGCAAGGGGCUUAGCUCCUGGCUCUAAGUCAAUCUUGUGCUCCCCUUCCCUUAUUUGUGUGAGUUUCUUAUGUAAUUUUAAUGACAUCUAAGGAUGGCAAAGUUUGAUACAAUUUUUCAACCAAACUUGAAGAAGCGUUAUUAGUGGGUUUGGAAAGUUCUAAUCUAUUUUACUUUUUAAAACAAAGUAAAAUAGAGAACAAUUUUUAAAGAACAAUUAGGAGUUGUUUUUACCAAUUUUUAAAAAACAAAAAAUAUAUAAACUCAUUUGACUAUAUUCUUUUAAACUUGUUUUUAAAUUAAAGAAUAAAAAAUAAUUUUUUAAAAUAAGUUUCAAAAAAUAUGACCAAGUCGGGGUUUAUAAUAUUAAAGAGGAAAAAAGUUAAUUUAAGAUUUUGCAUGCAGGUAAACAUCAGGCUGUAAAACUGGUUUACUAAGACACUCAUUUUAUUUAUAUAUUCUUCUAUGUGCAUGCAUUGACCAUGUGGUUAAGAUGUGUUGCACCGAAAUCUAAUGAUUAGCUGUAAAACGUUAAUUAAUCCGAGCAUACAUUUUUCUUUAUUUGUUUUGGUUUCUUUACAAGAAUGCUUCUUUAUGUAUUCUUGUUGAACCUAUAAAAUAUCAUCCAUAGACAUUCUUUUUGAAUAAUUAAGAACCGAGAUUUCUAAUUGGUUGGUUAUUAUUUUUAUCUGUAAGGAAUCGAAAUUUAGCUCAUCAUUUAUCGUAUGAAUAUCAUAUAGAUUUGAAAAGAAUUUCACACUUAGAAAUGUACCUCUCAGAACAUUUGAAGUUAAGAUGUUUUUGUCUUCUUCAAUUUGAUUGCUCAUUACGACUUUGAGAUUCAAAUUCCUUUUGAUGUAAAAAACAAACUUAAAUAAAUAAAAAGAAUUAAAAGAUAAGCAGAGCAAAAAAUUAAAUAGUGUGAGUUGGAAUGAAUAAAGUUUUAAUCAAAAUUGGAAAUUAAGGUGAAACAUCCUAAAUUAUAUACAAAAGCUCAUAUAAUAUUACACCAUAAUUUCUCUAAAUUAAUCUUAACCUUUUAGUGCAGUGUGUACAGUCAUUGCUUGUUUGUGGAUUAGAAUUAGUAUCUUCUGCUGCUGAUCUGGUAUCACAACUUCUCUGCUCAUCAUUGUACUCUAUCAUUGUCUGAUGGUCGCGCCUGGUGGCUUCUGUGUUGUCACAGCUUCUCCGAGCAUCACUACUGGUAUCUUCUGGGAUGUUUCUGUUUAUAACAUCAGGUGUAUAUAUAAGAUGGAACCCACACUCUUUCACUUCGACUGGUGUACCGUCCAAGCUAUGAAAUGAAGCCUUCAAACGUCUCCAUUCGUUCGACCAAUACUGGUUGCCAAUAACAACCUUGGGAUAAUAAGUCACACACAUUUGACUUGAUUCACCGCAAAUUCGGCAGCAAUAAGACCGGACAUCAUCCACGUGACAGCAUUCAGAUUGAUCACCACAGAUAUUGAGUUCGCAAUUCAACCAACCACAAGCCAUAGGAAUAAAAACAGAGUAUAAAGCAAAUCCUAAGAAGCCAUCUUUUCUGUACAAAUCCGUAGAAAGCUCUAUUGUUAUUUGAGAUCCUUUUUUUGGCUGGCUUAUCCACUCUGGAAUUCCAUCAUUUCCCGAAAUAACAACUCUGAUUGCCUUGUUCCAAUAGGAGCCGCAUUCAAAUUCCUGCACAGAAGUACAGUGUUAAUACUCUGUUCAUAAGGAAAAAGGGCUGAAUGUUAUGAAAAUCAUACCUCAAUCAUUGAUUUGAAGCAUUUGAACAGAGAAAAACCAAGUUGACUUGAUGGACUUGAUAAAGUUUCCAAGCAUGUGCAACUGUGGACAUCUAGAACUCGUAAACUUGGUGGAAACUCUGGAACUUGUAGAAGCCCCUGGCAGUGACUCAAUUCAAGGACUCUCAGUUUAGAAAGUUGAAUGAUGCCUGCAAGUAUGCUACUAAAACAGUCCUUGCUUAGAUUUAGACCUGAAGCGUACAAACCCUCUAAACAUUGCAAACUCCUCAGGUUCUCGGGAAAUCUCUCAAGUUUUGUACAGAAACUGACAUUUAGAAUUUUGAGAGUUUUCAAAUUACAAAAGGCCUCUGGAAGACUCACAAGGUAUUGCGAGAUUCAAAUAUUGAAGCCCUCUUAGAUAUUGAAUUGAUGCUGGUAGUUCUUCGAUAGCAGUUCCAUCUAAAUGAAGCUCUCUUAUAUUUUCCACAUCCUCGAGGAUUUCCGGAAAGCUCCUUAAUCGUGAACAGCCUGAGCAGAAGAGAGUUGUAAGGGAUUUCAACUCACAUAUGCUACUGGGAAGAAGCUCAAGGUUUUUGCAUUCUCGCAAACAUAACCUAUUAAGUUUAUGGGGACACUCAACAGUGGGUAGUUCAUUGAUGGCAUUUCACUUUAAACAAAGCUUCCAUAGGGAUUGCACAUCCUCUUGACAUUCCCGGCAAACGGUGGAUAUCAUUGCUUUACCAUGGUUCUGUUCAUGAUCAUGGGCAUAUAUAAGAUGGAUCCCACACUCUUCUACUUUCACUGCUUUACCUCUCAAGUAGCCACAAAAUGAAGCCGUCAACUGCCUCCAUUUAUUUGAGUGGUACUUCUCCUCAAUCUCAUGCUUAGGAUAAUAAAUCAUCCACAUACAAGGUACAACAUAGACGUGAAAUGAGGGAUAAAACUGGAGUUUAUCCACAAACUGAAUUUCAUGACCACGCAAAGUUAAACCAUACUCGAAGUAAGUUGCACCAUUCUCCAGUGUCUCCUCAGAUUCAUUAUCCAGUGGAUAAUAGACACAGUACAAAACAAAACCCAACAAGUCGUCAUUUUUAUACCAAUUUUGAGGAAGCUUUGCUACUACUUCAGCUCCCUUUUUGUGAUGGCUUAUCCAAUCUGGAAUUCCACAACUUUCUGAAAUAAUAAGAUUUACUCGGGCAAAAGGUUUUUCUAAAGGAUAAAUCUUGCAUUCCAAAUCCUGCAGAAAAUUUAAUUAACACUUAAAUCCCCAUGUCUCCACAAAAAAAGUUUUGGUCUAUGAAUAUCAUACCUGAAUCAAUGAUUUGAAGCAGUUGAAUAGAGAAGACCAGAGUAGACCUGAAGAAGUUUCCAGCCGUUUGCACAAAUGUAUAUCUAAGACACGCAAACUGGAUGGAAGUGCUGGAAUUUGUCGAAGCUCUUGACAGUUACCCAAGACAAGGAGUCUCAGCCUAGAAAGUUGAUUGAUCCCAGCAGGUAUGCUCCUAAAAAGAUUCCCGAAUAGAAAUAAUUCUUGCAGAGAUGAUAGCUGGCAAAUUUCAGUGGGGAUUCCUCCUUCAUCUAUACCACACACACGUAGAUCUACAACUUCCAAGGAGUACAAGCAGCAAAUAUCACUCAGGACUACUCCUUGCAUUAGCUUUGAGUAAAUAAGAUCUAACUCCUUUAAGGAGCAUAAACCUGACAAAGAAAGCAAUUGGCAACAUCUUGAAUUUAAGCCCCUAGCACGGAGACACUUCAAGCUUUGCAGCCUCCCCAGGUUUUGUGGCAAUUUGUGGAGUUUUGAACAGUAAUUCACAUUGAGAUCUUCAAGAAAGCGUAAAUUACAAAUGCUUUCUGGAAGAGUCACAAGGUUUUUGCACCUCUCAAGAUUCAAAACUUGAAGCCUAUUCAAAUGUUCGAUUGAAGAUGGUAGCUCUUUUAUGGCCGUUCCGUUCAAGUGAAGCUGCCUUAAGUUUUCCAUAUUCUCCAAGAUUUCUGGGAAGUACUGUAAUUGUGAACAGUCAGAGCAAAAGAGAGAUUUUAGGGAUUUGAACUCCCAAAUGCUUGUUGGUAGACUCUCAAGGUUUUUGCACUCUCGCAAACAUAAGGUAUCAAAUUCAGAGGCACACUCAAUGGGUGGUAGGCUGAUUGUCUGACCCUUUAAACAAAGCUUUCGGUGUUCCACAUUCCUCUGACAUUCAGCGCAGCUAGCAUCCACAUCAUCAGUCUGUACUAUUGGAUCUUGGGCGUAUAUAGGUUCAAGCCCACACUUGAGCACCUUAAAAUGAUUGCGACAGCCCAUAAAUAUAGCCCCAAGAAACAUGGAUGGAUUGGUGUGACAGCUCUCCAGAAUAGCAGCCUUGGGAUAGAAUAUCACCCACAUUUGUUCUGAUCCACCUCCAUCAUGGUAGCAUUUACAAGUAGUGCGAAAACUGAGACGUUGCGCACACAGGGUAGAAAAUCCAUAUCUAUCAUGUAAUGACAAUUUACAUUCUAACCCAGUGGAGAUUGAAGAUUCAGCUUCAAGUAAAUCGUCAUAUUCAUUUAGGGCUUCGUCACCAGAUUCAUUCUCCGAUGUAUGUGCAAAAUCAUUUUCUGGUAUGUCCUCACAUUCAUCGUGUGGAGCAUAAACACAGCAUAUAGCAAUUCCCAAGAAGUCAUUAUUUUCGUAACAAUUCUGAGGAAGGUCCAUUGUGAUAUGAUUUCCCUCUCUCUGAUUCCUUAUCCACUUGGGAAUUCCACAGCUUCCCGGAACAACAAUACAGACUCCAUUGCCAAUGAAGUCAGAAUCACGGAGAAAUACUUCAUUUGAACUGCUCUUGUAUUUCAAAUCCUGUACAAAAGGACAAUGUAAAUCCUGUGGGUCUGUGCCAUUAUGUGAGUUUUUAUGAGAGAGUUUGUUAUCAGUUUUUGAUAAAUUGAUUCCCAGUUUUAACUUUCUUUGAUCUAUGCUCCUGAAUCUACUUAAUAUCCCUUUUAGAUGACGGAUUAUCAAUCAACAUGAAAGUGAGUGACAAGAUUAAGUGUGAAAACUGGAAGUGAGGGGAAACUGAAACUGAAAGUGAGUAGAAUAACCAGAUCUCUUCUUCACUUGCAGUAGCUUCUUCUCCAUUCAGAUACAGAGAUCUUAGAAUUGUAGCUUCAACUUAACUCUCAGAAUCUUAAAGACAAAGUUCGCUCAAGUUUCAAAAACUCACACAAAAAUUUCUCCUCAUGUUUCUCUUAAUCCUAUGAGGCGAGAGACAUGUAGCACACACUUAUUGGCUUUUUUACAUGCAAGUUUCAAGGUGGAGCGUCUAAUGAACUAAAACAUUCCCUCAAAUCCCAGUGGAAAUUCACACUAGAAAUUGCAGAAUUUGCUAAGGAAAAGUUUAAUUCAUUUAAUCCAUGAAUAAAAAAGUAUGUGAGAGCAUUUUAACAUCCUAAUACUUAUUAUAUUAAACUAUAAUUCUCAUUAUUUAAACUCAUGAUCCUUCACUUCAUCACCAAAUUUUGAAGACACUUUUGGCAUCUCUUCCAUGAAUUAAUUGAUGUUUAAGAAGGUAUAAUAAACUUUUAAUUGAAUUUAACAUUAUUUCUAUCCUAAUACUCAUCUUAAACUCUGUUUUUUUUUUUUUUAUACUCUUAUCAAAACAAAUAAAAACUUAACAAAAAAAUAAAGAUUUCAAUUACUCCGUGUUCAAAAGGGAAAAUGGCUAAAUGUCAUGAAAAUCAUACCUCAAUAGUUGAUUUAAAGCAUUUGAACAGAGAAACACCAAGUAGACAUGAUGGACUUGAUAAAACUUCCAAGCAUGUGCAACUGUGGACAUCUAGAACUCGUAAACUUGGUGGAAGCUCUGGAACUUGUAGAAGCCCCUGGCAGUGACUCAAUUCAAGGACUCUCAGUUUAGAAAGUUGAAUGAUGCCUGCAAGUAUGCUACUAAAACAGUCCUUGCUUAGAUUUAGACCUGAAGCGUACAAACCCUCUAAACAUUGCAAACUCCUCAGGUUCUCGGGAAAUCUCUCAAGUUUUGUACAGAAACUGACAUUUAGAAUUUUGAGCGUUUUCAACUUACAAAUGGCCUCUGGAAGACUCACAAGGUUGCUGCAAUCUGCAAGAUUCAAAUGUUGAAGCCCUCUUAGAUAUUGAAUUGAUGCUGGUAGUUCUUCUAUAGCAGUUCCAUCUAAAUGAAGCUCUCUUAUAUUUUCCACAUCCUCGAGGAUUUCCGGAAAGCUCCUUAAUCGUGAACAGCCUGAGCAGAAGAGAGUUGUAAGGGAUUUCAACUCACAUAUGCUACUGGGAAGAAGCUCAAGGUUUUUGCAUUCUCGCAAACAUAACCUAUUAAGUUUAUGGGGACACUCAAUAGUGGGUAGUUCAUUGAUGGCAUUUCCCUUUAAACAAAGCUUCCAUAGGGAUUGCACAUCCUCUUGACAUUCCCGGCAAACGGUGGAUAUCAUUGCUUUACCAUGGUUCUGUUCAUGAUCAUGGGCAUAUAUAAGAUGGAUCCCACACUCUUCUACUUUCACUGCUUUACCUCUCAAGUAGCCACAAAAUGAAGCCGUCAACUGCCUCCAUUUAUUUGAGUGGUACUUCUCCCCAAUCUCAUACUUAGGAUAAUAAAUCAUCCACAUAUAAGGUACAACAUUGCCGUAAAAUGAGGGAUAAAACUGGAGUUUAUCCACAAACUGAAUUUCAUGACCACGCAAAGUCAAACCAUACUCGAAGUAAGUUGCAUCAUUCUCCAGUGUCUCCUCAGAUUCAUUAUCAAGUGGAUAAUAGACAGAGUACAAAACAAAACCCAACAAGUCGUCAUUUUUAUACCAAUUUUGAGGAAGCUUUGCUACUACUUCAGCUCCCUUUUUGUGAUGGCUUAUCCAAUUUGGAAUUCCACAACUUUCUGAAAUAAUAAGAUUUACUCGGGCAAAAGGUUUUUCUAAAGGAUAAAUCUUGCAUUCCAAAUCCUGCAGAAAAUUUAAUUAACACGUAAAUCCCCAUGUCUCCACAAAAAAAGUUUUGGUCUAUGAAUAUCAUACCUGAAUCAAUGAUUUGAAGCAGUUGAAUAGAGAAGACCAGAGUAGACCUGAAGAAGUUUCCAGCCGUUUGCACGAUUGUACAUCUAAGACACGCAAACUGGAUGGAAGCACUGGAAUUUGUCGAAGCUCUUGACAGUUACUCAAGACAAGGAGUCUCAGCCUAGAAAGUUGAUUGAUCCCAGCAGGUAUGCUCCUAAAAAGAUUCCCGAUUAGAAGUAAUUCUUGCAGAGAUGAUAGCUGGCAAAUUUCAGUGGGGAUUCCUCCUUCAUCUAUACCGCAGAAAGAUAGAUCUAACACUUCCACGGAGUACAAGCAGCAAAUAUCACUCAGGACUACUCCUUGCAUUAGCUUUGAGUAAAUAAGAUCCAACUCCUUUAAGGAGCAUAAACCUGACAAAGAAAGCAAUUGGCAACAUCUUGAAUUUAAGCCCCUAGCACGGAGACGCUUCAAGCUUUGCAGCCUCCCCAGGUUUUGUGGCAAUUUGUGGAGUUUUGAACAGAAAUUGACAUUGAGAUCCUCAAGAAAGCGUAAAUUACAAAUGCUUUCUGGAAGAGUCACAAGGUUUUUGCACCUCCCCAGAUUCAAAACUUGAAGCCUAUUCAAACGUUCGAUUGAAGAUGGUAGCUCUUUUAUAGCCGUUCCAUUCAAGUGAAGCUGCCUUAAGUUUUCCAUAGUCUCCAAGAUUUCUGGGAAGUACUGUAAUUGUGAACAGUCAGAGCAAAAGAGAGAUUUUAGGGAUUUGAACUCCCAAAUGAUUGUUGGUAGACUCUCAAGGUUUUUGCACUCUCGCAAACAUAAGGUAUCAAAUUCAGAGGCACGCUCAAUGGGUGGUAGGCUGAUUGUCUGACACUUUAAACAAAGCUUUCGGUGUUCCACAUUCCUCUGACAUUCAGCGCAGCUAGCUUCCACAUCCUCAGUCUGUACUAUUGGAUCUUGGGCGUAUAUAGGUUCAAGCCCACACUUGAGCACCUUAAAAUGAUUGCGACAGCCCAUAAAUAUAGCCCCAAGAAAAAUGGAUGGAUUGGUGUGACAGCUCUCCAGAAUAGCAGCCUUGGGAUAGAAUAUCACCCACAUUUGUUCUGAUC